rnacentral:rRNA from 1 species
ACUGUGCUGAUGCGGAGGGAUCAUUACCGAGUUUACAACUCCCAAACCCCUGUGAACAUACCACUUGUUGCCUCGGCGGAUCAGCCCGCUCCCGGUAAAACGGGACGGCCCGCCAGAGGACCCCUAAACUCUGUUUCUAUAUGUAACUUCUGAGUAAAACCAUAAAUAAAUCAAAACUUUCAACAACGGAUCUCUUGGUUCUGGCAUCGAUGAAGAACGCAGCAAAAUGCGAUAAGUAAUGUGAAUUGCAGAAUUCAGUGAAUCAUCGAAUCUUUGAACGCACAUUGCGCCUGCCAGUAUUCUGGCGGGCAUGCCUGUUCGAGCGUCAUUUCAACCCUCAAGCACAGCUUGGUGUUGGGACUCGCGUUAAUUCGCGUUCCCCAAAUUGAUUGGCGGUCACGUCGAGCUUCCAUAGCGUAGUAGUAAAACCCUCGUUACUGGUAAUCGUCGCGGCCACGCCGUUAAACCCCAACUUCUGAAUGUUGACCUCGGAUCAGGUAGGAAUACCCGCUGAACUUAUGCAUAUCAAUAGGCGGGAGGAA